rnacentral:lncRNA from 1 species
UCCAGCCUGGGCAACAGUGCGAGACUCAAGAAAAAAAAAAAUUUACAGACAUAAACUGACAAGGAGAAAAAAAGAAGAGAUCAUACCAACAAAGUAUGCAAGAUGACCACAAAAUAAACUUGUGAUGAACAGCAAGCCCCGAAAAAAGAUAAAUCCCAAAAUGAUUUAGCAUAAGAGUAAGAUCAACAUCUAACACUCACACACAAAAAAGAAAAGGAAGAAAGAAAAGGAACAGUGCCUCAGAAAUCAGCAACACCUUAACCAAUAGCAUAGAAACAUUAUAGGCUCAGAAAUUAAAAGGUUAAGGAGAGAAGAAAAAGAGAAAAAAAUGAAGCACUAU